UACGUAGGGUGCAAGCGUUAAUCGGAAUUACUGGGCGUAAAGCGUGCGCAGGCGGUUUCGCAAGACCGAUGUGAAAUCCCCGGGCUUAACCUGGGAAUGGCAUUGGUGACUGCACGGCUAGAGUGUGUCAGAGGGGGGUAGAAUUCCACGUGUAGCAGUGAAAUGCGUAGAGAUGUGGAGGAAUACCGAUGGCGAAGGCAGCCCCCUGGGUCAAGAUUGACGCUCAUGCACGAAAGCGUGGGGAGCAAACAGG
rnacentral:rRNA from 1 species